AUGCACGCUGGCGGCGUGCCUCAUCCCUGCCAGUCGAGCGAACAGACGAGGAGCUUGCUCCUCUGACGUUAGCGGCGGACGGGUGAGUAACACGUGGAUAACCUACCUAUAAGACUGGGAUAACUUCGGGAAACCGGAGCUAAUACCGGAUAAUAUAUUGAACCGCAUGGUUCAAUAGUGAAAGACGGUUUUGCUGUCACUUAUAGAUGGAUCCGCGCCGCAUUAGCUAGUUGGUAAGGUAACGGCUUACCAAGGCAACGAUGCGUAGCCGACCUGAGAGGGUGAUCGGCCACACUGGAACUGAGACACGGUCCAGACUCCUACGGGAGGCAGCAGUAGGGAAUCUUCCGCAAUGGGCGAAAGCCUGACGGAGCAACGCCGCGUGAGUGAUGAAGGUCUUCGGAUCGUAAAACUCUGUUAUUAGGGAAGAACAAAUGUGUAAGUAACUAUGCACGUCUUGACGGUACCUAAUCAGAAAGCCACGGCUAACUACGUG
rnacentral:rRNA from 1 species